ACCUGAGGCAGGUGGCUACCACAGAUAAGACUUUUCCAGUGCUGGCACUCUGGUUGUGGAAUACUCUAUAUUCAUUCAGCUGCCACUUUACUGGUUUUUCAGCACCAGUGCUGCUACCUCCUUUUUACAUGCCCUGUUCUACAUGCAGCUUCCUGAUUAAAUUUUUCCCUCAGCCAGCCAAGCUGGGAUCCGUUUGAUACACAGAACAAGGAAGAAACAAGUACCUUAACUUCAUGUUUGCAAAGAGCUGAGUCAUGCCCAGCUAGUAGCUGUUCAUCUCUUCUCCACCCAAAUCAUGAUGCAAGCAAAUAAUGGACAAUCACCAUGCAAUGCUGGAUAAGGUGGACUGGUCAUAAACAUUCCAUAUAGUGCCUAGGAUCAAUUAACCAAAACAAAAAGGUCACCAACAAAACCACUGCAGAGAAAAUGAAGUGCAUAAAGUCAGCACAAAGUUGUUGAUCUGCAUGUGCUUAUGAAAAUUUGUCAGGCUGUAACAUUUGCUUCUAUAGGAUUGCCUCUGGCAAAAUCUUAGUCCCUCAUGGCAACAGCCUCUCUCACUCCUCUUAAAAGCUGAAGGGCCUAAGCCAACAGCAAAA